AUGAAAAGAACUUUGAAAAGAGAGUUAAAAAGUGCUUGAAAUUGUAGAGGGGGAAGUCAUUAACGGCUGUGGGUGCACCCGGGCUCAAAGUACCUUAACGGGUGCCUGAAAGUGCCGGGAGCUGGUCAGCAUGGGUUCAGCCUGAGAGAUAAACCUUUCUGUGUCGAAAGUCUAUGUCUCGGGGUGGAUCGAGGAAAGAAUGUUGCUUUGCCUUCGAGCUGCAACAUCAAGAUGCUGGCGGAAGGCUGUUAAUGAGCCCGUCUUGAAACACGGACCAAGGAGUCUAACAUGUACGCGAGUUGGUGGGUGGAAAACCCAUAAGCGCAAGUAACCUGACUGGUGGGAUGGCCUGUGCCUGCACCAUCGACCGACCAUGAUUUUCUAUGAAAGGUUCGAGUACGAGCGUACCUGUUGGGACCCGAAAGAUGGUGAACUAUGCCUGAGCAGGGCGAAGCCAGAGGAAACUCUGGUGGAGGCUCGUAGAUGUGCUGACGUGCAAAUCGCUUUUCGGACUUGGGUAUAGGGGCGAAAGACUAAUCGAACUAUCUAGUAGCUGGUUCCCUCCGAAGUUUCCCCCAGGAUAGCUGGAGCUUAAUCAGUUUUAUCA
rnacentral:rRNA from 3 species